rnacentral:lncRNA from 1 species
CAAAGGCUCUGUAGACAUUCAAUUUGGUAGGCAGCCUCUUCUCCCCACAUUUUCCUUCAGAGUUUCCCAAACACUAUUAGCUCUGGCAAUGUGUGCCUCAACCUCAUCAUCUAUGUGGAUAUCCUUGGAAAGAAUGCUGCCAAGAGAGAGGCAAAUGAAGGCAUUCUUGAUCUCCUGAAAGAUAACCUCCUCUUGCCAUAUAACUUGGAAGCUUUUAGCUUUUGUAUGAACUAUGGAUCCCUUGUAUUAUAAAUCUCUGCUGGAAUGGAAUCAUCACCAUGUAUUUUGCCACAUAAGAGGAGCCUAAUGGAAUUCAAAAUCACUUCAAUAUUUGAAGUUCAGCCACAGAGGGAUUGACCUCAACAUGAGAUAUACAAUCAAUGAUUUCAAUAUUGGUUGAUGACAUCCUAUAGAGAACACGAUGGGAGUAUUCAGCCUAAUAUCCUUAUCACUGAUCAGUGUGACUCCAUUUAACAUUGAGUAGGUGAAAUAUGCCAUAGGUUAGGGUUAAGGUUAGAGUUAGGGUUAGGGUUUAGGGUUAAUUGCUUUCAGAACAUCAUAGAAACAUUCUAGAUUGUUAAUCAGACUGAAUUUCAUCUGCCUUCUUACUGAGCCAAGGAUCCUACAUCUUUCUAAGCUUUGUUCUUAGAGACAGAUGAACUAUCCUGCUGGCAAACCCUAUGAGUUCUUGUUUUUCAUUUAGUAGCUUCUGAAUUUUCCCUUUAUUUUUAUUAAACCAAUUGUAAUGUCUGAGAAUAUACUUGCCUAGAUGAGUAAAUGUGGGGCUGUAUAACAAAUUUCUGAAAAUUGCCCUUUCCUUUUCUGCUCCAAUGUUGUCAUACUUGUGUUGACUCAGUUUUCCUUCCAAGUCACAAAUUGUUUGAGAAUGGAGACACUCUCUCAUUUGUUCACAUUGUCUUCUGGUAGUUGUAUUGCUUUGAGACCACCACUUUCAUUGAAUGUAAAUGUU